AUCAGUAGCAAUAGCAAGAGGGUCCACCUGAUACCAUUCCGAACUCAGUAGUUAAGCCUCUUUACGCCGACGAUAGCCACUUGGUGAAAAUAGGGAGCUGCUUUUU
rnacentral:rRNA from 1 species